CCUANGGGGGGCAGCAGUGAGGAAUAUUGCGCAAUGCCCGAAAGGGUGACGCAGCGACGCCGCGUGAAGGAUGAAGGCCCUCUGGGUCGUAAACUUCUUUGGCAGGGGAAUAACAGGUUGCUACAGGCGACCGUGAAUGUACCCUGAGAACAAGCAUCGGCUAACUACGUGCCAGCAGCCGCGGUAAUACGUAGGAUGCGAGCGUUGUCCGGAUUCACUGGGUGUAAAGGGAGCGCAGGCGGGUCGGUAAGUCAGUGGUGAAAUACUCAGGCUCAACUUGGGAACUGCCACUGAUACUGCCGGUCUUGAGUAUGGAAGAGGCCGAUGGAAUUCCUGGUGUAGCGGUGAAAUGCGUAGAUAUCAGGAAGAACACCUAUGGCGAAGGCAGUCGGCUGGUCCAUAACUGACGCUCAUGCUCGAAAGCGUGGGGAUCAAACAGGAUUAGAUACCCGANUANUC
rnacentral:rRNA from 1 species